rnacentral:rRNA from 1 species
UACGUAGGGGGCAAGCGUUAUCCGGAAUUACUGGGUGUAAAGGGAGUGUAGGCGGUAAUGUAAGUCAGAUGUGAAAGCCAGGGGCUCAACCCCUGGACUGCAUUUGAAACUACAUAACUAGAGUGCAGGAGAGGAAAGUGGAAUUCCUAGUGUAGCGGUGAAAUGCGUAGAUAUUAGGAGGAACACCAGUGGCGAAGGCGACUUUCUGGACUGUAACUGACGCUGAGACUCGAAAGCGUGGGGAGCGAACAGG